CUAGUACUCCCUCCGUUCGGAAUUACUUGUCCCAGAAAUAGAUGUAUCUAGAAUUAGAAUAUGUCUAGAUACAUCGUUUCCGCGACAAGUAAUUCCGAACGGAGGGAGUAUAUG
rfam:Triticum urartu cultivar G1812 contig1188362, whole genome shotgun sequence.